UAGCUUAACCGUAAGGAGGGCGCUUACCACGGUAGGAUUCGUGACUGGGGUGAAGUCGUAACAAGGUAGCCGUAUCGGAAGGUGCGGCUGGAUCACCUCCUUU
rnacentral:rRNA from 1 species